UAAACUGGUAUUGGUUGGGUGAACUGUGGUACUAGAGAGAAAUAGAGGGAAGCGGAAUUCCGGGUGUAGUGGUGGAAUGCGUAGAUAUCCGGAGGAAUACCGGUGGCGAAGGCGGCUUCCUGGAUUUCAACUGACGCUGAGGCGCGAAAGCGUGGGUAGCGAACGGGAUUAGAAACCCCGGUAGUCCACGCCGUAAACGAUGCACAUUCGAUGUUCGGUCAUGUUAAGUGAUUGAGUGUUCCAGCAAACGCGAUAAAUGUGCCGCCUGGGGAGUACGGUCGCAAGGCUAAAACCCAAAGGAAUUGACGGGGGCCCGCACAAGCAGCGGAGCGUGUGGUUUAAUUCGAGGCUACGCGAAGAACCUUACCUGGGUUUGACAUGAUGGUAGUACGGAAGCGAAAGCGGAAGGACCUUCGGGAGCCAUCACAGGUGCUGCAUGGUUGUCGUCAGCUCGUGCCGUGAGGUGUUCGGUUAAGUCCGCAAACGAGCGCAACCCUCGAUGCUAGUUACAAGUGUCUAGCAUGACUGCCCAUGACAAAUGGGAGGAAGGUGGGGAUGAUGUCAAAUCAGCAUGGCCUUUAUAUCCAGGGCGACACACACGCUACAAUGGUCGGUACAAUGGGUAGCGAAGCCGCGAGGUGGAGCGAAUCCUGCAAAGUCGGUCUCAGUUCGGAUUGCAGGCUGCAACUCGCCUGCAUGAAGUCGGAGUUGCUAGUAACCGCAAAUCAGCACGUUGCGGUGAAUACGUUCCCGGGCCUUGUACACACCGCCC
rnacentral:rRNA from 1 species